rnacentral:rRNA from 1 species
AACUACGUGCCAGCAGCCGCGGUAAUACGUAGGGGGCGAGCGUUGUCCGGAUUUACUGGGCGUAAAGGGUGAGUAGGCGGUAAUAUGUGUCAGAUGUAAAAGGCUAUGGCUUAACCAUAGUUGGCAUUUGAAACUGUAUUACUUGAGUGCAGGAGAGGUAAGUGGAAUUCCUAGUGUAGCGGUGAAAUGCGUAGAUAUUAGGAGGAACACCAGUGGCGAAGGCGACUUACUGGACUGUAACUGACGCUGAGUCACGAAAGCGUGGGUAGCAAACAGGAUUAGAUACCCUGGUAGUCCACGCUGUAAACGAUGAGUGCUAGGUGUUGGGUAGCGAUAUUCAGUGCCGAAGUAAACACAAUAAGCACUCCGCCUGGGGAGUACGGUCGCAAGACUGAAACUCAAAGGAAUUGACGGGGACCCGCACAAGCAGCGGAGCAUGUGGUUUAAUUCGAAGCAACGCGAAGAACCUUACCAAGGCUUGACAUCCCCUUGACCGGCACAGAGAUGUGCCCUCUCCUUCGGGAGCAAGGGUGACAGGUGGUGCAUGGUUGUCGUCAGCUCGUGUCGUGAGAUGUUGGGUUAAGUCCCGCAACGAGCGCAACCCUUAUCCUUAGUUGCCAGCAGGUUAAGCUGGGCACUCUAAGGAGACUGCCGAUGAUAAAUCGGAGGAAGGGUGGGGAUGACGUCAAAUCAUCAUGCCCCUUAUGUCUUUGGGCUACACACGUGCUACAAUGGUCGGUACAAAAGGCCAGCGAAGGAUUGAUCUGGAGCGAAUCCCA